rnacentral:piRNA from 2 species
UCACAGAUGCUGGAGAACUGGGUGUG